AGCGAACGCUGGCGGCAGGCCUAACACAUGCAAGUCGAACGAAGUCUUCGGACUUAGUGGCGGACGGGUGCGUAACACGUGGGAACGUGCCUUUAGGUUCGGAAUAACUCAGGGAAACUUGUGCUAAUACCGAAUGUGCCCUUCGGGGGAAAGAUUUAUCGCCUUUAGAGCGGCCCGCGUCUGAUUAGCUAGUUGGUGAGGUAAAGGCUCACCAAGGCUACGAUCAGUAGCUAGUCUGAGAGGAUGACCAGCCACAUUGGGACUGGGACACGGCCCAAACUCCUACGGGAGGCAGCAGUGGGGAAUCUUGCGCAAUGGGCGAAAGCCUGACGCAGCCAUGCCGCGCGGAUGAUGAAGGUCUUAGGAUUGUAAAAUCCUUUCACCGGUGAAGAUAAUGACUGUAGCCGGAGAAGAAGCCCCGGCUAACUUCGUGCCAGCAGCCGCCGUAACAC
rnacentral:rRNA from 1 species